rnacentral:rRNA from 1 species
AUACGUAGGGUGCAAGCGUUAAUCGGAAUUACUGGGCGUAAAGCGUGCGCAGGCGGUUUUUUAAGACAGUGGUGAAAUCCCCGGGCUCAACCUGGGAACUGCCAUUGGGACUGCAAGGCUGGAGUGCGGCAGCGGGGGAUGGAAUUCCGCGUGUAGCAGUGAAAUGCGUAGAUAUGCGGAGGAACACCGAUGGCGAAGGCAAUCCCCUGGGCCUGCACUGACGCUCAUGCACGAAAGCGUGGGGAGCAAACAGGAUUAGAUACCCUGGUAGUCCACGCCCUAAACGAUGUCAACUGGUUGUUGGGGAUUUAUUUUCUCAGUAACGAAGCUAACGCGUGAAGUUGACCGCCUGGGGAGUACGGCCGCAAGGUUAAAACUCAAAGGAAUUGACGGGG